rnacentral:lncRNA from 1 species
CACAGCCGUUCUUUGGCGUUGGCUGAAUUCACUCUCACGUGGUGGCUUGGCGUGAAGUGAACUCUAAACUUUACCCCAAGAGAUACCCUACGGGCCUUUCUGACCGAGGUAAGAAUAUAACCGAAUUUCGUGCCCCUCAAUAGGCUGGCCCACAGAAGCUGCCACUGCAGUGACCAAUCUAUAACCCACCAAUUCAAUAAAAAUUCAACAGCAUGACAUGGCAAUUUUAUCAUUAUCUAGCCUAUCAAGGGAAACAACAGUUUAUACAUUUUCAACACAAAUACCCAUCCAGCCAUUCAUGCCCACAUUAUCAUAAGCCAUUCAAUUCAAAACAUAAUUUACAAUACAUCAAGUAGUCUCUAAUUACUCCAUUUUCAAGUCAUCAUUCAAUUUCAAAACAAUUUAUAAAAUCAUUUCAUUUAAACACAUUUUCUAUAAAAUUAUAAAAUCGGAUAAAAACAUACUUUAGAUAAUUAAGACAAUAAUAAGGUUACUCACAAUAUCGAGAGUCAAAGUACUCCUAGUCCCGAUCUUCAGGUACAACUUCUUUGCCCUUACCGGAGGAUUCACCACCUAGACAUAAUGCAUAAGCAAUUUACCACAUUGGUGCUAAACCAUUAUAAAACUAAUCUAGGCUCUAUAUGAAUGCAUGAAAUGGAAUGCGAAUUGUUCGGAUCUCGUCUAAACACGAUGUUCUACAUAAAUUCAAUUGUGUACCUAAAUAAAACGAUAUUGGCCUAAUUUGAUCUAUCACCCGAUUAAUUGGAAAAUAUGUCCAAUUUAACUCCAAAUAACUCCAUUUCUCUCCCAAUACUCCAAAUCAUCAAACUCAAGUCAAGUAACAUAAAAUUUAGGAAGAUCAUCUUCACAUUUCUUCUUGGGAAUUUUGGCCAUGGUGGGUGCAUGAACAGUAUGGUUUUUCCCACUUGAUUUUUACACCAUAAAUCAUUAAUUCCUAACCAAAUCACUUUAAAUAAAAUCAAGUCCACCAUCAACACACCAUAGGGAAGAUUCGACCAAUGGAGGGUGAUGGAAGAAAAUGAAUUUUUCUUGUUUGCUUUUCAUGCUACACAUCACUAACUAACUAAAAAUACUAGAAUAUAUUGAAAUCUAACCAAAUCCAAGUUCAAAACUCCUCCCCCCAUAUCCGGCCAACAAAGGUAUCCUCAUGCAAACUUGAUUCUCAACCAUGGAAAAUGAAAAAGAAUGCAUAGGAAAGGUAGAUCACAAGCUAGAAUUGAAAAAUCUUACCUUUUGUCACUUGAUUCUUUGAAAUUUUGUGAAUUUCUCUUGAAUUUCUUAGCGAGGUUUUUGUUCUUCUUC